CACGGAACGGACCAGCUCUGGUACAAGUGAUGCCACGAUUCUCUUAAUUGGACGUGAUGGAUACAGAACGCAACGAUUGCGGAACAAGUACCGUCGCGAAUCAUAUAUUGGGGACUUGACAAUCCAAAUAUUCAACAAGGAGACCUAACAACAUCCAAUUGUUCUGAGAGGAGGAGGAGGCUUAGGAAAGGCAUCUGGCCCCGGCGGAGCAACUUUGGGUAUCAUCGCAGCUUCGUGGCUGAACAACUCCGCCCGUUGCGCUUCGAGUUGGUGAGUGAAACAUUUUUUUAUAAAAUGGGGUAACAAAUCUGUGAAACUUAUAUGUAUUGAUACAAAACUUUAUAUAUAUAAUGUCCCUGUAAUAGGACAGCAAAUAGCCACAAUUCUUUUCACAGAUCUGUUACUUUAAAAUAGAUAGAUUAUAUCUGAUUAGGCUAAAUAUUUAAUUCUGGAACUUCUCUUUUUUUGUCUUAUU